GCACCUGCUCGGCGUCUGUGCACAGGGGGCCCCAGCAGCGGUGGCUGGCGCCGAAAUUCAGCGUUCUGGAGACAGGGGAGGCCGAGGGACCGAGCGCAUGACGACCAGCAGGGAGGGAGAAGGGACGGCACGUUAGAGGCACAGGUGUGGGGGCGCGCUCGUCCUUGAAGGCGUCCUUGAAGACGUGCGGGAAUAGUCCAAGUGCGGACUCCCUUUGUGGAACCCUCGUGCGCGCCGUUUUGCCGUCACGUCCUUUCUGUCUAGCACCUGAUGACGAGGCAUGUAAAACAGGGAAGCCUUUACCAAAACCUUGGCGAGAGGGAUAACGGAAGAGGCCCCCAGGAGAUACAGAUAUUGGAGUCAUCAUACCCAGACUUUAAGACAACUGUGAUUCACGUGUUCUAGAAAUUAAAGUGUAAGAUGGACAAUUUCAGGAGAGAAUUGGAGACUAUAGCAAAAGUACCAAAGGGAAACUCUAGAACUGAAAAAUGCCAUAACCGAUACUAAUAAUAGACGGGUUUAACAGUUGAUUAGCAAACACAAAACAAAAGAAGCAGAUGUAAUGAUACUAAUAUUACAUAAAGGAGAUUUUAAUGUUUUAA